rnacentral:tRNA from 1 species
GCGGAUAUGGCGGAAUUGGCAGACGCGCUAGACUUAGGAUCUAGUGGGAAACCGUGGGGGUUCAAGUCCCUUUAUCCGCACCA